AUUGCCGGCAGCGUCGGUGUACACUGGGCGGCAAAGAUGGCGCCGCGAGGACGGAGGAAGCACGAAGCACAUGGCGCCGAUGGCGUGUACGGCAUUCGUAGCAUGGUUAUGGCAAUGAUUCAAGAAAGUUUUUUUGUGUUUUACUGCUGCAGAGUGCUCAAUGGUGCGGUGAUAAUUACUUCAUUUGACCUGCCAGCUUGUUAGAGCGCGAAUGAGUGGCAACAAACGUUUAUGGGAGCAAGGGAAGCUGCAGCUGCUAUCCUGGAAGAAAACGACGAUGCCUAGAAGCAAGAAAUCAUUUCUAAUAAGUUAAAUAAAGACUGUGUGAUUAUCUA
rnacentral:lncRNA from 1 species